ACGUACACUCCUACGGGAGGCAGCAGUGGGGAAUUUUGGACAAUGGGCGAAAGCCUGAUCCAGCCAUGCCGCGUGCAGGAUGAAGGCCUUCGGGUUGUAAACUGCUUUUGUACGGAACGAAACGGCCUUUUCUAAUAAAGAGGGCUAAUGACGGUACCGUAAGAAUAAGCACCGGCUAACUACGUGCCAGCAGCCGCGGUAAUACGUAGGGUGCAAGCGUUAAUCGGAAUUACUGGGCGUAAAGCGUGCGCAGGCGGUUAUGUAAGACAGUUGUGAAAUCCCCGGGCUCAACCUGGGAACUGCAUCUGUGACUGCAUAGCUAGAGUACGGUAGAGGGGGAUGGAAUUCCGCGUGUAGCAGUGAAAUGCGUAGAUAUGCGGAGGAACACCGAUGGCGAAGGCAAUCCCCUGGACCUGUACUGACGCUCAUGCACGAAAGCGUGGGGAGCAAACAGGAUUAGAAACCCGGGUAGUCCCAUGA
rnacentral:rRNA from 1 species